CUACGGGUGGCAGCAGUGGGGAAUCUUGCGCAAUGGGCGAAAGCCUGACGCAGCAACGCCGCGUGCGGGAUGAAGGCCUUCGGGCUGUAAACCGCUUUCAGCAGGAACGAAAAUGACGGUACCUGCAGAAGAAGGAGCGGCCAACUACGUGCCAGCAGCCGCGGCGACACGUAGGCUCCAAGCGUUGUCCGGAUUUAUUGGGCGUAAAGAGCUCGUAGGCGGUUGAGUAAGUCGGGUGUGAAAACUCUGGGCUUAACCCGGAGACGCCAUCCGAUACUGCUCUGACUAGAGUUCAGGAGGGGAGUGGGGAAUUCCUAGUGUAGCGGUGACAUGCGCAGAUAUUAGGAGGAACACCGGUGGCGAAGGCGCCACUCUGGACUGAAACUGACGCUGAGGAGCGAAAGCAUGGGUAGCAAACAGGAUUAGAUACCCUGGUAGUC
rnacentral:rRNA from 1 species